rnacentral:tRNA from 1 species
GGUUGUGAGCUGGGCCGUCUGACUUGUCGUCUACGGAUCAGAAGGUUAGGGGUUCGAGUCCCUUCGGGC